GACUGCUCCAGUGGCCUAGUGGUUAGAGCAUCUGCUCCGAAUGCGGGAGGACAUGAGUUUGAACCCUGGCUGAGUCA